rnacentral:rRNA from 1 species
UUCCUUCGCAUGCAAAUUUGACGGCGGACGGGUGCUUGCACCAUCCGGCGAGUGGAGAGAGGGUGAGUAAUACAUCGGAACAUGUCCUGUAGUGGGGGUAUGCCCGGCGAAAGCCGGAUUAAUACCGCAUACGAUCUACGGAUGAAAGCGGGGGACCUUCGGGCCUCGCGCUAUAGGGUUGGCCGAUGGCUGAUUAGCUAGUUGGUGGGGUAAAGGCCCACCAAGGCGACGAUCAGUAGCUGGUCUGAGAGGACGACCAGCCACACUGGGACUGAGACACGGCCCAGACUCCUACGGGAGGCAGUUUUUUUGGAAUUUUGGACAAUGGGCGAAAGCCUGAUCCAGCAAUGCCGCGUGUGUGAAGAAGGCCUUCGGGUUGUAAAGCACUUUUGUCCGGAAAGAAAUCCUGAGGGCUAAUAUCCUUCGGGGAUGACGGUACCGGAAGAAUAAGCACCGGCUAACUACGUGCCAGCAGCCGCGGUAAUACGUAGGGUGCGAGCGUUAAUCGGAAUUACUGGGCGUAAAGCGUGCGCAGGCGGUUUGUUAAGACCGAUGUGAAAUCCCCGGGCUCAACCUGGGAACUGCAUUGGUGACUGGCAAGCUAGAGUAUGGCAGAGGGGGGUAGAAUUCCACGUGUAGCAGUGAAAUGCGUAGAGAUGUGGAGGAAUACCGAUGGCGAAGGCAGCCCCCUGGGCCAAUACUGACGCUCAUGCAUUAAAGCGUGGGGAGCAAGGAAAAUUAGAUACCCUGGUAGUCCACGCCGCUAAACGAUGUCAUCAUUC